ACGGGUGAGUAAUGCCUAGGAAUCUGCCUGGUAGUGGGGGAUAACGUUCGGAAACGGACGCUAAUACCGCAUACGUCCUACGGGAGAAAGCAGGGGACCUUCGGGCCUUGCGCUAUCAGAUGAGCCUAGGUCGGAUUAGCUAGUUGGUGAGGUAAUGGCUCACCAAGGCGACGAUCCGUAACUGGUCUGAGAGGAUGAUCAGUCACACUGGAACUGAGACACGGUCCAGACUCCUACGGGAGGCAGCAGUGGGGAAUAUUGGACAAUGGGCGAAAGCCUGAUCCAGCCAUGCCGCGUGUGUGAAGAAGGUCUUCGGAUUGUAAAGCACUUUAAGUUGGGAGGAAGGGCAUUAACCUAAUACGUUAGUGUUUUGACGUUACCGACAGAAUAAGCACCGGCUAACUCUGUGCCAGCAGCCGCGGUAAUACAGAGGGUGCAAGCGUUAAUCGGAAUUACUGGGCGUAAAGCGCGCGUAGGUGGUUUGUUAAGUUGGAUGUGAAAUCCCCGGGCUCAACCUGGGAACUGCAUUCAAAACUGACUGACUAGAGUAUGGUAGAGGGUGGUGGAAUUUCCUGUGUAGCGGU
rnacentral:rRNA from 1 species